CGCACGCUCGACGUUCGCACGUUCUUCGCGUACUCACGCUCUCCCGAUCUUUCAGUCUUUCAGCCGUUCGUUCCUCGGCGGGGCUACCCUUUCGACCGCGGUCGAACUCGGUCAGUACGUCCGCGGCAGUCGGUGUGCUUUGUUCGCGCGUGUUUGUUUCGACUGAAAUUGAUUUUUGGACGUAAUUCGAGGCAGAUAAUUACGGUGGAUAGUGUUACUGUGAAAACUAUGCCAAAUCGUGAGAAAACAAUGAUAUAUUUCGAAUUGAUGGUUAUUUGGGAUACUAUGUGAUAAUUGUGUUAAUUAAUAUAUCAUGGAGUUGCGAUUAGGUCAAGAUUGUCUACAUUCCAGAAUGCGACUCUGGUGGUAGUGACUGGCCGAUCUCUAUGUUCUAUUGGCUGGUUGAGGAGUGUGGCUAUGGCGUUGUGGAAGCGCGAGCCAAGGUCGGAUCGGGAACACGUGCGCGAAUUCUGCAAGUACGUAGGGACUGGAUAACCAGAUAACUGGAUUCGUUGACGUGGACUGCACAGAACGAGCGAAAAUCAUGAACGGACGAUGGAAGGCAUUGGAUCUGACAUAAAAUCAUUCAAGGUAUUAAUGUUUUGAUAUCUGCCUGUGGAGCAGGCGUAUAUUUAAUCUUGUGUCAAGCUUUUAUCGUAAGGUGAGCGUAUUUAACACUAGAAUGACGGAGGUUGGUGCCUGAUUGAGAGUCAAUUUAG